UACGUAGGUGGCAAGCGUUGUCCGGAAUCAUUGGGCGUAAAGCGCGUGUAGGCGGUCCGGUAAGUCCGCUGUGAAAGUCGGGGGCUCAACCCUCGGAUGCCGGUGGAUACUGUCGGGCUAGAGUGCGGAAGAGGCGAGUGGAAUUCCUGGUGUAGCGGUGAAAUGCGCAGAUAUCAGGAGGAACACCAAUUGCGAAGGCAGCUCGCUGGGACGUGACUGACGCUGAGACGCGAAAGCGUGGGGAGCAAACAGG
rnacentral:rRNA from 1 species